rfam:Enterospora canceri strain GB1 scaffold_6, whole genome shotgun sequence.
GCCUUUAUCGUAUAAUGGUUAGUACAGUAGUCUCAUAAUCUACAAGCGCGAGUUCAAUUCUCGCUAAAGGCA